AUGGCAGCCUGGCUUAUUUUUAAAACAGGACAGGGACGCCAUAUUCUGCAGAUCUGCAAAAAAAGGGAGAAAUCCGGCGCUGGCCACCCAGCCGGCGCGGCGGCCGCUGCGCGCGAGCCCCGCUCCAUUUGCAAUCAGUUUAUUUGCAUUAAGCCCCAUGAAUCAUUGUUUACCGGAGAAUUGCGAGCAGGUUUGAAUAGCCCGGCUUUAAAAAAAAAAAAAAAGAGCCGGAGACACUUCCUCCCCCCGAGAGCCUGCCAGCCGCGAGCUGCUGCAGCCGCCGGCCCAGAGCCGGAGCUGAAGCCCGAGUCGGGUCCGGGGCUGCCGGGGGUAGUGGCCCCACAUAAGCGACGCGAGUCACGGGCGCUUUCAGGCGCGAUCGUGGACCAGAGAUCCCGCAGCCCCAGGCCUGCCCCGGGCCCGGCCCCGGCUGACAGCGGGUCCCCCUCCCCACGCCCCCGCCCCGGGCCCCGCAACUCCGCGCAACUUUUGCUCCAGGCGCCCGCCCUCGGGCCGGCCCGGGCCCGGCCUCUGUCUGUCCGUGCGUCCGUCCCGCCCGCGCCCCGGCCCCGGCCCCGGCCCCGCACAGACCUGGCUCCGCUUGCUCGCGGGCAGCUCCGGGGAUGCAACGAGAGCCCGCGCCGCCUCCGCCUCCGCUCGUGCCUCCGCCGGGGCCGCCCCGCUGCCCGCCGGCCGCCCUGCCUCCCGCCUCCGCCGCGGCCGGCCGGCCGAGGAGGGCUGGGCUCGGGCUGGGCUCCGCUUCGCUCCGCUCCGGCGGGGAAGCCCGAGCUCAAACCUUCCGGGUCGCCUGCUGUUCACUUCUGGGGGCUGCAGGCGCCGCUACCGCGGCGGCGGCCGAGGCUGGAGGAGGCGGGCGGCGGGCAGGCGGCGGGCGGCGGGCAGGCUCGCAGGCUCGCUCCCCUCGGCUCCUCCGCCAGCCAGCCCCGCUCCGGGGGCGCUCCCCGCCGUGUCCCCGGGGGCCGGCGCGGGCCCCCGCCUCUCCCCGGCUCCGCUGCGCUCCUGCCCCGGGGGCUCCCGAGAAUGGGCAGCGCCCGCCCGCCAGCCCGCCCGCCCGCCAGCCCGCGCUGCAGGGGGAGGGGGCGGGCUGGGGGCGGGAGGGGGGCGCGGGCGGUGCGCGCGUGGGGGAGAGCGGAGGAGGAGAGCCGAGAGGGGCGCGCGAGGGGGAGGGGCGGGGGCGCGGGCCGGCGCGCUCGCACGGGGGCUCCCCAGCGCUGGCCGCCGGCCCGAGCCACAAAGGACCCGGCCGGGCCGGCCGGACGAGCCCCGCGAGCCUCGAGGCCUGUGCCUUCUCCACCGGGGCCCGGGCUGCCCAUUGUCCUGGCGCGGCCCGCAGGGGCAGGCGGGCUGCAGGGCAAGCUAGGAGCGCCUCGCUUUGGGCCAGCCUCGGGCUUCUGGUCCCCACCGAGAUAA
rnacentral:lncRNA from 1 species